rnacentral:rRNA from 1 species
UACGUAGGGGGCUAGCGUUGUCCGGAAUCAUUGGGCGUAAAGCGCGUGUAGGCGGCCCGGUAAGUCCGCUGUGAAAGUCGGGGGCUCAACCCUCGGAUGCCGGUGGAUACUGUCGGGCUAGAGUACGGAAGAGGCGAGUGGAAUUCCUGGUGUAGCGGUGAAAUGCGCAGAUAUCAGGAGGAACACCUGUGGCGAAGGCGGCUUUCUGGGCCGAUACUGACGCUGAGGCACGAAAGCGUGGGGAGCAAACAGG